UACAGAGGGGGCAAGCGUUGUUCGGAAUUACUGGGCGUAAAGGGCGCGUAGGCGGCCUGUUAAGUCGAACGUGAAAUCCCCGGGCUCAACCCGGGAACUGCGUCCGAUACUGGCAGGCUUGAAUCCGGGAGAGGGAUGUGGAAUUCCAGGUGUAGCGGUGAAAUGCGUAGAUAUCUGGAGGAACACCGGUGGCGAAGGCGGCAUCCUGGACCGGUAUUGACGCUGAGGCGCGAAAGCUAGGGGAGCAAACGGG
rnacentral:rRNA from 1 species